rnacentral:rRNA from 1 species
UACGUAGGGUGCAAGCGUUAAUCGGAAUUACUGGGCGUAAAGCGUGCGCAGGCGGUUGUGCAAGACAGAUGUGAAAUCCCCAGGCUUAACCUGGGAACUGCAUCUGAUACUGGAUGGCUUGAAUCCGGGAGAGGGAUGCAGAAUUCCAGGUGUAGCGGUGAAAUGCGUAGAUAUCUGGAGGAAUACCGGUGGCGAAGGCGGCAUCCUGGACCGGCAUUGACGCUGAGGAGCGAAAGCUAGGGGAGCAAACGGG